rnacentral:rRNA from 1 species
AACCUGGGAACUGCAUUCGAAACUGGCAGGCUAGAGUCUUGUAGAGGGGGGUAGAAUUCCAGGUGUAGCGGUGAAAUGCGUAGAGAUCUGGAGGAAUACCGGUGGCGAAGGCGGCCCCCUGGACAAAGACUGACGCUCAGGUGCGAAAGCGUGGGGAGCAAACAGGAUUAGAUACCCUGGUAGUCCACGCCGUAAACGAUGUCGAUUUGGAGGUUGUGCCCUUGAGGCGUGGCUUCCGGAGCUAACGCGUUAAAUCGAC